rnacentral:lncRNA from 1 species
UCUUACCAAUUUUAAUUUCUAAUCAACAAAAAAAGCAUCCAUUUUUUUUAUACUCAUAGCUUUGUACAUUAGGAUCUAGUUUUAACUCUAGUUCACUACUAAUCUUCUUUAAAUAUCAAUCUAAGGUUUUUCUAAGUAAUUUUUGUUAAAUUAUAUACUCUACCUUCACUUAAGAUGCCUAUAAUAUUGUAUUUGCCAACCUACUUUGAUUUCUCUUGUUUAUGGCCCUACAAAGAAAGAAAAAGCCUUUUUCAUAAAAAAAAGCAUUAGCAUUGUAUUGCCUCCACCACCUCUAUAAAUUUUAUCUUUGUUUUUAAGGUAAUUUCUACUAUUAUUUUAAAUAAGCUCUUUUGUAUUAUAAUCCUUAUUUUAUUUUUUAUUUUAUCUUGUAACCAUGUUACAAUACAAUAAUAUGGCUAUUAAAACUUGUGCCAUAAGAUUUCUAAUAUUGAAAAGUUGUAUUGGCAAUGAUUAUUAACUUGGUGCUUAAGCCACAAGUUUUAUAGUCAUUAGAAAGCUUCAAAAAGGACUUCUUGGUAGCAUAUAUGUGUAUAUAUAUAUAUAAAAGCAAAGCCAUCUUUAACCUUAGUAAUACCUUCUUUAUUCUAAUCUUGUUUCAAGGCUCUUUAGCUUCUUUUUGUUUGGUAGUAGUCAUUCUAGUUCUUUUCUAUCUUAUGUCUAUAAUUUUUUUGACAAAUUCUUUUGAAGCAACUUACAACUUGGAUACUUAGGCCAUAAGAUUUGUAGUCCUUAGAAAGCUUCUAUAAGAAUUUUUGGUA